AUUGAACGCUGGCGGCAUGCUUUACACAUGCAAGUCGAACGGUAACAGGCCUUCGGGUGCUGACGAGUAGCGAACGGGUGAGUAAUGCAUCGGAACGUACCCAGAGGUGGGGGAUAACGCAGCGAAAGCUGUGCUAAUACCGCAUGUGAUCUGAGGAUGAAAGCGGGGGACCGAGCAGCAAUGUUUGGCCUCGCGCCUUUGGAGCGGCCGAUGUCGGAUUAGCUAGUUGGUGGGGUAAAGGCCUACCAAGGCGACGAUCCGUAGCUGGUCUGAGAGGACGACCAGCCACACUGGGACUGAGACACGGCCCAGACUCCUACGGGAGGCAGCAGUGGGGAAUUUUGGACAAUGGGCGCAAGCCUGAUCCAGCAAUGCCGCGUGCGGGAAGAAGGCCUUCGGGUUGUAAACCGCUUUUGGCAGGAACGAAACGGUGUCCGCUAAUACCGGGCGCUAAUGACGGUACCUGCAGAAUAAGCACCGGCUAACUACGUG
rnacentral:rRNA from 1 species